rnacentral:rRNA from 1 species
UCAACAAGGGCGUAUGGAGGAUGCCUUGACAUCAAAAGGCGAUGAAGGGCGUGGCGUGACUGCGAUAAGCUUCGGGGAGCCGUCUAGCGGGCUUUGAUCCGGAGAUUUCCGAAUGGGAUAACCCCACAUAGUGAAAGCUGUGUGACUCCGUCUAAGACGGAGAGCGUACCCGGGGAAGUGAAACAUCUCAGUACCCGGAGGAAAGGAAAAAGAAGUCGCCUCUGGCGACAAUAUACCCCAAGUAGCGGCGAGCGAAAAGGGUAAAGCCCAAACCUGCUCAAUUUUUUGGAUCUGCACAAUAAUGUGUGUCUAAAAAUUUGAGCAGGGGUUGCAGGAAGGAUUUUUUUUCUCUGGUUUGGGUGGGCAUAUAUGACAUCUAAACAAGAGCAUGAAGUUACAAAGUUGAGUUGUUAGUUGAAUGGCCCUGGAAAGGCCAACCAAAGAAGGUGAUAGUCCUGUAAGCGAAAACUCUCAACCUUUAUGAAUCGUGUUUCACCACUGUGAGACUACAGGUGCAAGAAUCAAAAAAAGAAUUAACGAAUUCUAUGAUCUUAAUCCUUGUGUCUCGUGGUGGCGAGACACGAUAAAAAGUCCUAUCCUAAGUAGCCAUGGAGCAGACUAUCCGUGGUGAAUCCGGGCCUACUACGGUCCAAGGCUAAAUACUUUUGAUGAUCGAUAGUGAACUAGUACCGUGAGGGAAAGGUGAAAAGUACCCCGGUGAGGGGAGUGAAAUAGUAACUGAAACCAUAUGCCUACAAAGAGCAGGAGCCCUUCGAUUCGACAUUGCGUGUCUCACUCAGGGUAAACCCUAUUUAAAUAUGGGGCUUGCCAUGAGCGAAGGUACGUAGUAUCGAGUCGAAUGGGUGACUGUGUGCCUAUUGAAGAAUGAUCCAACGAGUUUAAAUGUACAGCUUGCCUAAGUUCUUCGGAAUGGAGGCGUAGGGAAACCGAGUAUUAAUAGUGCGAAUAUGUUGUACGUUUAAGACCCGAAGCCAGGUGAGCUAACCAUGGCCAGGGUGAAAGUCGCCGAAAGGCGACGGGAGGCCCGAACCGGUUGGUCGCGCAGUACCAUCGGAUGAGCUGUGGUUUGGAGUGAAAAGCUUAUCGAACCUGGUAAUAGCUGGUUCUCCCCGAAAUGCCUUUAGGGGCAGCGUCUAUUAGAAGCCAUAGGGGUAGAGCACUGAAUGGUUCUCCGUGCUCUUUUGAGUAGGUUUACCAAUCAAACUUCGAAUACUAUGGUGAAUUAAUAGGCAGUGAGACCGUGAGGGCAAAGCUUCACGGUCGCGACGGAAACAGCCGUUUUAUCUCAGCUUAAGGUCCCAAAAUAUGGUCUAAGUGUUGAAGGAAGUAUUCUGCCUUGGACAGGUAGGAUGUUGGCUUAGAAGCAGCCAUCAUUUAAAAAAUGCGUAACAGCUUACUACUCAAACCCCGCUUAGCGGGGAAGGUGGAGUGCGUCGAAGAUGUAACGGGGCUAAGCCAUUACCGAAAGCGAGGGCACGAAGAUUUCUUAAAGGAUAUUUGUUUGUGUGGGGUCGUAGCACGCCGGAAGGUGCGCCUGACUUGAUCAAAGCGUAGUUCGUAAAGCGCAGAUCGUCAGGAGUCGAAGGUUCGAAUCCUUCCGACCCCACCAACCCAAUCCUUUCCCGACUUAUUUUUAGUCGGGUCCUUUAAGAAAUCUUCGUAGCGGUAGGGGAGCAUUUUAAACGCUGUGAAGGUGUGUUGUGAAGCAUGCUGGAGCGUUUAGAAGUGAGAAUGUUGGAAUGAGUAACCGCAAAUCUGGUGAAAUCCCAGAUCGCCGAAAGCCCAAGGUUUCCUCCGCAAUGGUAAUCAUCGGAGGGUUAGGCGUACCUAAGCAUAACCCUGCAUUAGUGCAGGGGAAUGCGAUGGACAGCCGGUUAAUAUUCCGGCCCUUUGGCUGUUUUCGAUGGAGUGACGGAGUUUAGUAAGUUUGGCAUGUUAUUGGAUUUGUGUUCAUUAUAUAAGGUCGCAGUUUAGGAAAAUCCGGACUGCUGUCUUUAAUGACAAGACUAAGUAUCGUGAAAACCCUGGUUCGCCGGGGAAUCAAACUGAGCAAGCUUCCAAGAAAAACUUCUAAGGUUAAAACAGUUAAAUACGUACUUAAAACCGACACAGGUGGGCAGGUAUAAAUGUACUAAGGCGAACGGGUGAUUCGUGGCUAAGGAACUCGGCAAAACAGCGGCCGUAACUUCGGGAUAAGGCCUUCCCACCGCAAGGUGGGACGCAGCUAAUGACCCCUAGCGACUGUUUAUCAAAAACACAACUCCGUGCUAACUCGAAAGAGGAUGUAUACGGGGUGACGCUUGUCCGGUGCCGGAACGUUAACCCUGGAGGUGAUUUGACUUCGGUUGAAUUGCUAACGGGCGAAGCGCCGGUGAACGACGGCAAUAACUAUAAUUGUCCAAAGGUAGCGAAAUUCCUUGGCAGGUAAGUUCUGUCCCGCAUGAAUAGCGUAACGACUGGGGGACUGUCUCAGCCACGAGCCCGGUGAAAAUGCAAUGUCGGUAAAGAUGCCGACUACCCGCACCAAGACAGAAAGACCCCGGAAGCUUUACUAUAGCUUGGUAUUGGGUUAUGAGCCCUAAUGCGUAGUGUAGUGGGGAGGCUUUGAAGCGUUGUUUUCGGAUAACGUGGAGCCGUCAAUGAAACACCCAUCUUUAGGAUUUGUAACUCUAACUGGUCCAGCCCUUUCUUUUCGGAAGGGUGGACAAAAUAUGCUUAGUAAGGAAACUAAAUUUUAUUUUGUCAGCCUUUUCUUGAUUGAAAGGGCUGGAUCGAGACAGUGCCUGGUUGGUAGUUUGGCUGGGGCUGCCGCCUCCCAAAAGGUAACGGAGGCGUUCAUCAAGGUCAGCUAACCGCGGAUGGAAAUCGCGGUGAUAGUGUAAAAGCAUAAGCUGGCUUAACUGCAAGGCGUAUAUGCCGCGCAGGUGCGAAAGCAGGAUUUAGUGAACCGACCCUUACUCGUAGGAGUGGGGAAGAUCAACAGACAAAAGCUACUCCGGGGAUAACAGGCUGGUACUGCCCGAGCGUCCAUAGCGACGGCAGUGUUCGGCACCUCGAUGUCGGCUCGGCUUAUCCUGGGGCUGGAGAAGGUCCCAAGGGUUGGGCUGUUCGCCCAUUAAAAAGCUACGCGAGCUGGGUUCAGACCGUCGUGAGACAGGUUGGUCCUUAUCUGGUGUGGGCGCAGAAACUUGAGAGGAGUUGUCCCUAGUACGAGAGGACCGGGAUGAACGAACCUCUGGUCUACCAGUUGUCGUGCCAACGGCAGCGCUGGGUAGCUAAGUUCGGUUCUGAUAAGCGCUGAAAGCAUAUAAGCGCGAAGCAGGCCUCAAGAUUAGGUUUCAUAGGAACGUAGGAGACGACUACGUUGAUAGGGUUCAGGUGUAAGCGCCGUGAGGCGUUGAGCCGAGAACUACUAAUAUUCCAUCGU